AGGGUGCAGGGCGGAUGCCUUGGCACUAGGAGCCGAUGAAGGACGUGAUAAGCUGCGAUAAGCUUCGGGGAGUUGCACGUAAACUUUGAUCCGAAGAUUUCCGAAUGAGGAAACUCACUUAGAGUAAUGUCUAAGUAUCAUUAAGUGAAUACAUAGCUUAAUGAGGGGAACUCAGGGAACUGAAACAUCUAAGUACCUGAAGGAAGAGAAAGAAAUUCGAUUCCGUAAGUAGCGGCGAGCGAACGCGGAUUAGCCCAAACCAAUAAAGUUUUCUUUAUUGGGGUUGCGGACAUAUCAUAACGAAGAGGUAUCGUAAUUGAAGAGGUUUGGAAAGACCCACCACAGAAGGUAAUAGUCCUGUAUGUUAAACGAGAAGACUUUAGAUAUGAUCCAGAGUACCACGGGACACGUGAAACCCUGUGGGAAGCAGGAGGGACCACCCUCCAAGGCUAAAUACUACCUAGUGACCGAUAGCGUAUAGUACCGUGAGGGAAAGGUGAAAAGAACCCCGGGAGGGGAGUGAAAUAGAACCUGAAACCCUGCACUUACAAGCUGUGGAAGCACAUUUCUUGUGUGACCGCGUACUUUUUGUAGAACGGGCCAACGAGUUACGUUAAGUAGCAAGGUUAAGCACUUAAGGUGUGGAGCCGUAGCGAAAGCGAGUUUUAACUGAGCGUUCAGUUACUUGACGUAGACCCGAAACCGGGCGACCUACCCAUGAGCAGGAUGAAGCGAAAGUAAAAUUUCGUGGAGGUCCGAACCCACGAGCGUUGAAAAGCUCGGGGAUGACUUGUGGGUAGCGGUGAAAUUCCAAUCGAGCCCGGAGAUAGCUGGUUCUCCCCGAAAUAGCUUUAGGGCUAGCCUCAAGGUGAGAGAUACGGAGGUAGAGCACUGAAUGUCCUAGGGGGUAUUGCACCUACCGAAGACUAUCAAACUCCGAAUGCCGUCAUCUUAUACUUGGGAGUCAGACUGUGGGUGAUAAGAUUCAUAGUCGAAAGGGCAACAGCCCAGAUCGUCAGCUAAGGUCCCUAAAUGUAAGUUAAGUGGUAAAGGAUGUGGGAUUGCACAGACAACCAGGAUGUUGGCUUAGAAGCAGCCACUCAUUCAAAGAGUGCGUAAUAGCUCACUGGUCGAGUGAUCCUGCGCCGAAGAUUUCCGGGGCUAAAACUUACUACCGAAGCUACGGCAUCAGUAAUGAUGGGUAGGGGAGCUUCCCAUACGGGUUGAAGCAUGACCGUAAGGACAUGUGGACAGUAUGGGAGUGAGAAUGUUGGCAUGAGUAGCGAGAUGUGGGUGAGAAUCCCACAGGCCGUAAACCCAAGGUUUCCAGGGGAAGGUUCGUCCGCCCUGGGUUAGUCGGGACCUAAGCUGAGGCCGAAAGGCGUAGGUGAUGGACAACAGGUUGAUAUUCCUGUACUACCGAUAACCGUUUGAGAGAAGGGAUGACACAGUAGGAUAAGCUAAGCACACUGUUGGUUAUGUGUGCCCAAGCAUUGAGGCAGUCAAAGUAGGCAAAUCCGCUUUGAUAAUGCUGGGAUGUGAUGGGGAGCGAAAUUUAGUAGCGAAGUAGCUGAUUUCACACUGUCAAGAAAAGUCUCUAUCGAGGUUAAAGGUACCCGUACCGCAAACCGACACAGGUGGGUGAGGAGAGUAUCCUAAGGCCAGCGAGAGAACUGUUGUUAAGGAACUCGGCAAAAUGACCCCGUAACUUAGGGAUAAGGGGUGCCACCAUCAGGUGGCCGCAGAGAAUAGGCCCAAGCGACUGUUUACCAAAAACAUAGGUUUCUGCUAAGUCGCAAGACGAUGUAUAGGAGCUGACGCCUGCCCGGUGCUGGAAGGUUAAGGGGAGCUGUUAGAGCAAUCGAAGCAGUGAACUUAAGCCCCAGUAAACGGCGGCCGUAACUAUAACGGUCCUAAGGUAGCGAAAUUCCUUGUCGGGUAAGUUCCGACCCGCACGAAAGGCGUAACGAUUUGGGCACUGUCUCAACAACAGACUCGGUGAAAUUGUAAUUCCGGUGAAGAUGCCGGAUACCUGCGACAGGACGGAAAGACCCCAUGGAGCUUUACUGUAGCUUGACAUUGGGUCUUGGUACUACAUGUACAGGAUAGGUGGGAGGCUUUGAAACCAGGACGCCAGUUUUGGCGGAGCCAUCCUUGGGAUACCACCCUUGUAGUACUGGGACUCUAACCAUAGGCCAUGAAUCUGGUCUUGGGACACUGUCA
rnacentral:rRNA from 1 species